UGCCGUCCUGACUCAGGCUUACUGGCCGGAUCCAAAGGAAAAAGAGAGUCCAACUGCUCUGUCAUACUGGACCCACAAUAGCACUGGCUGGCUGGCAAAGCCGUUAGCUCUCUCUCCUGCCACAUCUCUGUCUUUUGUAUUUUUUAGUAGAGACGAGGUUUCACUAUGUUGGUCAGGCUGGUCUCAAACUCCUGACCUCAGGUGAUCCGCCCACUUCAGCCUCCGAAAGUGCUGGGAUUUCAGGCGUGAGCCACCGCACCUGGCCCAGGAUAUGUAUUUUAAAGACUUCUAAAACUCUACCCACUUGUUCCUAUUAGUCUACCAGUUUAUAUUACUACUAGCAGCACAAGUGCCCCAUUUCUUAGACCUUCCCUGAUACUAGGGACUGUGCUUGAUCAUGUUUUAAAACUUUUGCUAAUUUGAUAAUGGAAAAAAAAAAAAAUUCAUGGUGGCUUUGUUGUGCCAAUCUUAUUUCCAGUGAGGUAAUCACAUACCCGACACCUGAUUUUCUUCUUUACUGAAUUUUCUGAGUUUGCCUAUUUUCC
rnacentral:lncRNA from 1 species